CGUAGGAAUCUGUCGUUUUAACUCUUGGCCAGAAGUCAUUUACGUUCUGCGGCGCAAUCAACUGGCUUUGGAGUCACUUAGGAGGCACAGCUCUGGUGUCUGUGUGAUUCUGUAAAGCUCUUACUGAGGAGAGAAGACCCAUCUCGAUUGCUGGAACCCAGGCUGAAGAAAAAGGGACAAAGGAUCUGAGACAAGAGUAUGUCCACCGCUCUUCUGGACCCUGUGCUGGCACACGCUCCCAGCCCUAACCUCUGUGACUUAAAUUUUUGGUUGUGAGCCUAGCCUCUAACAACUGAGCCAUCCCUCCAGGCCCUAGCCUCUGUGACUUAAGCGAACUAUAAGGUGCCUGGGGAUGAAUUCAGAGAAAGCCACUAAGAUGACUAAUAGCUCAAAACAGUCACCUUUGGGGAACAGGAAUGAGUCAGCCGGGACAAAAGAUGUCUAGAGGGUGACUGAACAAGGAUUCCUUAUACAAAGGACUGGAAGGACACAGAGGCAGGGAAAUGGAAGCCACUGGUCCAGUCCUGGGAGGCCUACCACGUUAGACAACCAGGCUGCCUCUGAGUUGCAAGCCCAACCCUGGUUUUGUUUUCUGAUACAACCUCACUAAGUAGCCUAGGCUGGUCUUGAACUGACUAUGUGGCCCAAGCUGGCCUCUAACUUGUUAUCUCCUUGACUCCCAAAUGCCAAUAUUUUUAGUUCUAUACGGCCACACCUGGCUUUGUGGAAUCCCUUUUGAAUGCUGAGUAUCCACCAUGCUCCCCGUGUAUGCAGGAGGGAAGAAGGCAAAUUCAGGAAAGGAUGGGCUGGGCUGAUGACAAGAGCCACAGGUGGUGGGGUGGGUGUAGGCCUUUCUGUGUUCGCGCUCCUCUCAGUGCGAUGUUCUCUCUUCCCAUUGAUGUGUUUGCAACUGACUGAUAAUCGAAUUCUUUUUGAAAUUCCAUAAUCCAGUACUCUCUUCUGUACUCUGUCAAAAUUAUUCUCUCAAGUUGCCACAGUGAGAUUUUCUAUUUCAUGUCAAGCAUUUUUGGAAUCAUAAAAAUGUUAUUCUUCGUAGACGUAUAUGAAUUCUGGAAAGUAGUUCUGCAGCGACUCACAUCUGGACUCGGGAUGGAAGAGAAGGAGAUAUAAAAUGAAAGGAAUUCAUCAGCUUCAAUGAAAUACUUGGGGAUGUUAUGUAUGAAUUAAGUUACAAAUGAGGUUGAAUGAAAGUUGUUUUUUUUUAAGUUCCUUUUUAUAAACUAAAAGAUGAGCAUUAAAACAAAAUCCUUGUCAGGCAUGGUUGAGCACACGUGCAAUCACAGUGCUUGGGAGGAAGAAG